CCUACGGGUGGCAGCAGUGGGGGAUAUUGCACAAUGGGGGAAACCCUGAUGCAGCGACGCCGCGUGUGGGAAGACGGUCCUCUGGAUUGUAAACCACUGUCCCCAGGGACGAAGAUGACGGUACCUGGGGAGGAAGCUCCGGCUAACUACGGGCCAGCAGCCGCGGUACUACGUAGGGAGCGAGCGUUGUCCGGAAUUACUGGGUGUAAAGGGAGCGUAGGCGGGACUGCAAGUUGGGAGUCAAAUCUACGGGCUCAACCGGUAGCCGCACUCAAAACUGCCGUUCUUGAGUGAAGUAGAGGCAUGCGGAAUUCGUAGUGUAGCGGUGAAAUGCGUAGAUAUUAGGAGGAACACCAGUGGCGAAGGCGGCCUGCUGGGCUUUUACUGACGCUGAGGCUCGAAAGUGUGGGUAGCAAACAGGAUUAGAUACCCCAGUAGUC
rnacentral:rRNA from 1 species